rnacentral:rRNA from 1 species
UCAGGACGAACGCUGGACGGCGUGCCUAAUACAUGCAAGUCGAACGGUCUUUCUAUGGAAGCUUGCUCCACUGAAAAGAUAGUGGCGAACGGGUGAGUAACAUGUGGGUAACCUGCCCAUAAGAGGGGGAUAACAUCCGGAAACGGGUGCUAAUACCGCAUAGUUUCUUGAUCGCAUGAUCGGAAAGGAAAGACGGCCUUUGUGCUGUCGCUUAUGGAUGGACCCGCGGCGUAUUAGUUAGUUGGUGAGGUAACGGCUCACCAAGACGAUGAUACGUAGCCGACCUGAGAGGGUGAUCGGCCACAUUGGGACUGAGACACGGCCCAAACUCCUACGGGAGGCAGCAGUAGGGAAUCUUCCGCAAUGGACGAAAGUCUGACGGAGCAACGCCGCGUGAGUGAAGAAAGGUUUUCGGAUCGUAAAACUCUGUUGUCAGAGAAGAACAAGUUGGAGAGUAACUGCUCCAGCCUUGACGGUAUCUGACCAGAAAGCCACGGCUAACUACGUGCCAGCAGCCGC